rnacentral:rRNA from 1 species
UACGGGGGGGGUAAGCGUUGUUCGGAAUUACUGGGCGUAAAGGGCUCGUAGGCGGCCAACUAAGUCAUACGUGAAAUCCCUCAGCUUAACUGGGGAACUGCGUGUGAUACUGGAUGGCUUGGAUUUGGGAGAGGGAUGCGGAAUUCCAGGUGUAGCGGUGAAAUGCGUAGAUAUCUGGAGGAAGACCAGUGGCGAAGGCGGGUCUCUGGACAGUUCCUGACACUGAGACACGAAGGCCAGGGGAGCAAACGGG